AACAGCUGGAAUAUGUUAGGUUUCCAGGAAGGCAGCCGGGAGAGGGAGUAUGAACUGCCAGCAGGUGGCUGGGAAUGGUGGAAUAACACUGUGGUGGGACUGGAGGAGUGCUCUGUCUCUUACUGCGGUGACUUGACUGUUUUCAGCAAAAGCCUGUUUUUCUUUGUAACGCUGGACCUUUAUCAAAGUUCAUUAAAGGAAAUUUAGCAUUUCCUUUAAAUGAUGCAAUCCAUUUAAUCUAUGUUACAGUAGCAAAGCCUUGUUAAUCCAGUCGAUGCAUUGGAUGCCUAAUAUUUUAAGAAAAGUUUCAGCGUGGAGUGCUUUCUAAGGAGAAAAAAAAAAAGCAAUUCUGACCUACUACAAAAUAAUUUUGUUGAAAAUAUGAAAGUUACGGAAGCUCACAGAAAUAAUAGGAAUCACAUAACUCUCAUUUAAAAAGAAAUUAAAAAUUGAGGGUUGGCUCUGAGUGCUGUGCACGGUGGGCAGCAUGUUUGGAGCUCAGCUGUAGUUUGAGGAUGCCCAUGGAGGGUACGUCAAAGGUGUCUGCACAUAGUCUUCCUUAGGCUAUAAUUUCAAGACCUGCAUUUCACAAAGCCCUUUCCCGGUGUCCUGGAAGUACAAAGAUGCUACAUUUGUUUAGCCCAUUCCAUAUUGCAGAAACAGUGCUUGUAGCCUGCGUUCAUCUGACCUGUGCUGAUAUCUGGAAGAACAGUUGGGGAGUAGUAAAAGGGGAGCCACGAGUGCCUGAAAUCAGGGCACCUGAGGACAAUUUCACUCCAGAAGCAGAAAUGAUCAAUAAAACUUGUAUGUUAAAUAGCUUCCUACCAAGUCUCUUCCUCGAUAAUUUAAAGAGCUUUCCCAGGAGAAACAGAAAAUUUCAACAGAAGGUAAAUUUCCUGCAGCAGAGUAAAUUUCUGUAACAAUCAAGUUCUUCCUCUUCUUUUGGACAUUCAUAUGUUCAGUACAAAAAACAAUUUAUAGUUUAUUAAAUUUUCCCAGUGCUACUGUGAGCUACUCAUCCACUCUCUGGAAGAAUUUUUUCCCCAGUGAUCAGCGUUCUGUGUAAUCUGCUGGAAUUAUAUCUGGAUUCCAUUUUGUGCCAUUAUAAUAUUCAGUUACUGCAUUAUCUUUAAUGAACGCACACUCAACGCCUUACUCAUAGUGUGGGGUAUAGUUUUACAACAAGAUUAUAUUUAUUACUCUGGAAAACUAUUUGGGAAAACAAACCCAACACACAGCCUAACUUAAGAGAAUGUGUUCAUUUUCAUAUGUUAAUUCUACGAGCUUCCUCUUAAGGAAUUUACAAGUAUGAAAAUGGAGUCUGCUCAUUGCACCAAAGUUUGCCUAAAGGCUGGGAAGCAGCUGAAUUACUGGGUGGUAUUAAUAUCUUGUUUUUACUGUGAAACAGAUGUUCAUUGCCAGAUCUUUUUCCAGUGUCUUAGUGUGUUAUAGCAUGUUGGAUUUAAAUAGAGUGCGAUAGGUUCCAAACUUCAGCUUACAACUUUGCUGUCAAUUCCUAAGAAAUAAGUAUUAGGCUUUAAAAGAGAUUCAGUGUUAUUUCAUUACAUAAAAGGGGUCAGAAAACCAUCUUGUUGACCAGAACAUGGAAAUGAAGUUAAACAGGUCUGUGACGUUAAGUAUAUUGUUUUGUGAGAAGCUGUAGUUUUUGGAUUAGCACGGUUGACAUUGAGCCAUGUUUUUGUUGACACAGAACUUGAUUCCUAAAAACAGGCUUAUGCAUGGGAUUUAGUUAAAAGUGUAUUUGGGAGAUUUGGGUAAAGAUCUUUAGAGAGGCGGAAACGUGGUUCAGAAUACUGGUAACAUACAAAAUAUUUACUGAUGCCGGUUGCUUCUGUAGACUCUUAGUUUCCAAAUCAAUCUGAGAACAGAUUAACUAGCCUGCAGCAUUGGAUUUAUCUUACUCUUCUUUUGUUUAUGGCACUGCCUAGAUCAUCAUCAUGCCAAACCCCAAGGGGAAGUUGUGGCUCGCUGGCAGCAACAGUCCUCCUGCCCCAUCUUUGCCUCUGUGAACCUUGGUAAAUAUCACUUGUUGCCUGAGUCUGACUGCUCCAUGAGGAACUGCUGUUUGUAUGCCGGCUGUUCUUGCACUAGAAGAUAUAGUAUAUGGUAGCUGUAAUAAUAGUUGUCAUCUAGGAAUGAAUCCCUGAUGGAAAUUUAGCCUGAUCUUGCUGCCCUGUUCUUUUGUUUCCCAUGCAAGCAUCAGCGCUGCUGAAACUCUGUAGAACAUGGCUGCAGCCCACAGCCCCUCUUCCUCCUGUGCUCAUUGUUGCCUUCCCACAGUUGAGCUCAGUAUGGGUUCAUCAGUCUGAGUUGCUUCAGAAAAACUCAGCUGUGCCUCUUAAAAUCAAGCCAUAAAAUUGAGGCCAUACCAAAUGCUGUACCUUUCAUGUAUGAAUGAAGAAGGGACUUCAUGGUCAGCUGGGCCACUAGGAGAAGUGAGAGGCUCAGCAUAUGGGGGUCAGUGUGUUAAGUAUUUUCCCCCAUUUAAAAUGACCAUGCUGGCUCAUGUUUUGAAAUGAGGGCAGGGGAGAGCUUCCCUUUCACAACCCAGAGCCACGCAAAAAGAAGAAAAACAUCUUGAAUACCAAGGGCAGCAGAAGAAGUCGGUUGGGUUACCCUUGCACUAUGCAGACAUCUGUGAAAAUUUCAUGCUUCUGUGCAGAUUCAUUCCAUGCAGAUUUCAUGCAGAUUCUCCAAAGGGCUGAAUUUGGCUGUAAGUCUCUCACAGAAUACUUCCGCUCUCCUGUGCUUUUCUAAGGACACGUUGUUAAUGGCCCUUGGUGUAGAGACACUGGAAGAUGCAAACGAAAUGUCUGAACAACAGGAGGGGGCAGGCUUAAACUGAUAAAAAGUGAGACAAUCAAACUAGCUGUAAACCUGGAAAUGCUGUUCUCAGCUCCUAGCGUGUGCAGGAAAUGCAGCACAUAUGGCACAGAGAAUCACCUGGAGCUAGGCCUCUUUGUUGCACCUUGGCACAGGAGAGCAGGAGCAAAGCAGAGAUGCAGAUAUUAACCCUCAGUUGUCUCAUAAGGAUUGGAUUAAUUCAGUUCUGAUACGUGGCUUCCAGAUUACAUAUACAAGAUGUUAAAAAUAGAAUCAUUACUAAAUGUGCUUUGCUGUGCUUAAGUGUAGGUAACGGUGCAUUUUUGUUGAUUUAAAAACUUUCAGUAUCAUUCUUUCUAAUGUUUAAGAAGAUGCGGAUGAAUUUAAUUGUACUUUCUGGAAGUGUUUAAUUUGAUUCUAACAAUAUUUCUGAUGCAC
rnacentral:lncRNA from 7 species